UACAGAGGGCGCGAGCGUUGUCCGGAAUCACUGGGCGUAAAGGGCGCGUAGGUGGCGGCAUAAGGCCGCGGUGAAAGUCGGGGGCUCAACCCUCGAAUGCCGGUGGAUACUGUCGGGCUCGAGUACGGAAGAGGCGAGUGGAAUUCCUGGUGUAGCGGUGAAAUGCGCAGAUAUCAGGAGGAACACCGAUUGCGAAGGCAGCUUGCUGGGACGUUACUGACGCUGAGACGCGAAAGCGUGGGGAGCAAACAGG
rnacentral:rRNA from 1 species